CCAUGCACGUCUAAGUGCAAGCCGCGUUAAGGCGAAACCGCGAAUGGCUCAUUAAAUCAGUUAUGGUUCAUUGGAUGUUCCUCUACUUUACUUGGAUAACUGUGGUAAUUCUAGAGCUAAUACAUGCCACUCGAGUCCCGACCGGAGACGGGAAGGACGCUUUUAUUAGAUCAAAACCAAUCGGCCGGCUCCGUACCGCGCCGUUUUCCUUGGCGACUCUGAAUAACGCUUUGCCGAUCGCACGGUCUCGCACCGGCGACGCAUCCUUCAAAUGUCUGCCUUAUCAACUGACGAUGGUAGGCUCUGCGCCUACCAUGGUUAUAACGGGUAACGGGGAAUCAGGGUUCGAUUCCGGAGAGGGAGCCUGAGAAACGGCUACCACAUCCAAGGAAGGCAGCAGGCGCGCAAAUUACCCACUCCCGGCACGGGGAGGUAGUGACGAAAAAUAACGAUACGGGACUCAUCCGAGGCCCCGUAAUCGGAAUGAGCACACUUUAAAUCCUUUAACGAGUAUCCAUUGGA
rnacentral:rRNA from 2 species